CACACUGAUGUUGUUAGCAUUAUGUAAAUGUUUUAUGUUAAAACUAAUGCCACCAAUUGAUUUUUAACUUUAAACACAAGUAUGUUGUUUUGAAUUUAAUUAACAACACAAUAUUUCAAUACAACAAAAUUCAGUAAAUUAAAUCCAACGUAAAAAGUUCAUUUAAAAUGAAGAGCACUUUAAUUUAAAGAGGAUUGUCCUAAUAGGCUCUCCGUACUUCUGAGUUUGCACAUGUGCAGUCUGGAAGUUUGAUCAUCCGCCAUUUUCAACUGAGACUUGCAUAUGCUUAGUAUCCUGGAUAGAAUCCAUCGCCAUCUGAGGAUUAUUUGGUUGGUUAGCUAGUUCUGUCUCUCAAUAGAUGCAACAAAAGUGGCUCAGAUGUGGUUGUUUUAAAUGUGGAAGUGCAGACAGUGUGCUGAAAGUGUUUUGACAAGAAUCCCAGCAUUGAUGUUCGACGGGAAUGCAUUCUGAAAGCUGUCUGUGUCUACUUAAAUGAAAAGCCAGAUGACCUGUUCAAGGAAUUCUUAGAUGUGGAUCUUGGUGCAAGCAGAGAAACGGAGCAGCUGACUUUGGGAGUCUAUGUUGUCAGACAUGAAGGAGCAGACUCUGCAGAUACACCUGAGGACAUUGGUGUCAUCAUAGAAGGAUGCACUGUGCUGCAAGCUCUUAGUGAUGUGGCAAAGGGGUGUGCCCUCCUGCUUGGACUAAUCUACAGUCUAAAUCUGAGCUACCCAAAGCACCUGAAAUACACAUUUGAAUUUCUUCAGAAGGUGCUGAUGGAGUUGGAUGGGAACAACCUAUCCAUGAA